UACGGGGGGGGCAAGCGUUGUUCGGAAUUACUGGGCGUAAAGGGCUCGUAGGUGGCCAACUAAGUCAGACGUGAAAUCCCUCGGCUUAACCGGGGAACUGCGUCUGAUACUGGAUGGCUUGAGUUUGGGAGAGGGAUGCGGAAUUCCAGGUGUAGCGGUGAAAUGCGUAGAUAUCUGGUGGAACACCGGUGGCGAAGGCGGCGUCCUGGACCAACACUGACACUGAGGAGCGAAAGCCAGGGGAGCAAACGGG
rnacentral:rRNA from 1 species